UUUAUCCGUAUCACAGUGAUUCCUGGGAUGCCCCCUAUCAUUCUUAGGGACCCGGGGACCAGGAAGCCUGGGGCUCUGGAGGUUCCCUGCUAUAACUGUUGUUCUAUCCUGUACAAGUUUUUCCAUGCAGCCUAAGGAGACACCAGACCCAACUAGUGAUUAAUCUUGAGGAUUUAGCAGGAAGUUUACUACAAAAAAAACCCCCCAAACCCAAAAAGAACAAAACAAAAAAAACAAAACAAAACAAAAACCAAACCCACUUGAAUUGAGAUCUUUGAAUGAUAAAUAAGUUUUCUAGGUAAAAAAACAAAACAGAGAAAAUGUGUGUACAAAGAAAGCCUGAAGACCUGGGAGAGUCCAGAAUAUUGAGAAGACAGGUUUAGACAUCAGUAAGUCAUUUCCUAAGACUAGACUAGAAAGUUUAGUUUAGUAAACAGCUAGAGGCAGGACCUUGAAUGCUAGCUAGUUAAAAGGCAGUGCUUCUUCCUAGAGUCUUCACUGGGGUGAGGAGAUGAAGGAGUGACAUGGGCGGAGCUCCGACUCAGAGCAGUACAGUAGUUUGUACCGCACAGAGCUAGCUCUUACUAGUCGUUCAUUAACGUCUCGUAGAUAGAUGGGUGAAAAGCAGGUGAGUAAAUGACUCUGGAUGAGUGACAGAAAAGGGAGAGGCUAAGGAGAAUAGAACCACUGAGAAGACUUGUAUCAAUUCAAGGAAGGAGAGCAGCAGCAAUGGAAUCUCAUGGUAGCCUAUGAUAAGACAGCCUCCACAGUUGAGGGAAGUCCUGCUUCAGUAUGUCUGCACUAGAGUGUGUCUGUGGGGAGGACAGCUUUCACCACUCUUUCUUUGUUGCCUCUUGAGUGACCCCCCCCCCUUUGUCUGUUCUCCUGAAGUGACCUGUCCUUUAAUGAAGAACAUUUUCCCUCUGGCUCAGGGCUCUGAAUAAGAGUGAAGCCAGAAAUAGUUCUAGCUCUACUGUGCAGAACCCUGAGCCCUCAGCUGAGGGGCAGUGCUGCCAGCCUCCUGGGACAGUGGGAGGGGCCAGCAAGUAGCCCAGGGAAGGGCUUGUAUGAGGCCUAUCCCAAGUAGGUGCUCAGGGAGUGCCCUCUCUAUGGCUUUGCCAAUGGCAGGGGCUGCCAGAGUACUGGCCCUUCUUGGCACUUGGUCUCUGCAGUCUGAAUGAAGAGGGCAGCCCUGCCAGCUCCUGGCUAGCUCUGAGGCCAGAAUACCUACCCAAAGAAAAGGUGGACAGAGUUGAGAAUGUUGACAAGAAAAAGUCUGAGAAGAUGCACCCUGAAAUCCACAUUCUAAAGGUAGGUGUCCAUUAUGUUCUAAAAAGUACCUAGGACACAUAUGGUAUCAAUCAAUCCCCCCUUCAUCCUCAGACCGAUUAGAACCUUCUGAAAUUAGGGCAUCAGUGUGUACUUGGUUUGGCUGUCUUUCAGACUGUGGGUCUGUCUGAGAUGGGAAUCUCACUUUGUAGAGUCAAUCUCCCAAGAGUUGUGCCACCAAGCCUGGCUGAAGUCUGCUUGUUUUAGUUUCUUGUUUAGUUAGGCAUGGUCCUGUCUCUGAUCUCUGCCAGUGAAAUAAAAGCAAACCUGGUCUGUGGGAACUCUAGGAAUGAUACCUAGAGGGAAACCAUCAGGGAAGGAAGUUCUUGUCUUUACUGUAUUCCUCCUCCUGUCUGGAACCCUGUGGUAGAGCUCUAGCGUGACGAUAGUAGAGUGGAAAGGAGGGGAACCUGAGUCCCAGUAGACUCUGUUAGAUCUGCUCAGCUGCUCUGGACAGCCAGCUCUUUCCUUCAGACCUCAGGCGUGGCCAUGGGUUACCUAGAGCUCCCCUGCCACUUCCAGCUGUGGCAGUCCCUGGCGGCCCAGCCCUUCCAGCAGGGCUAGGAAUGGGCCGGGGGAGGCGGGCAUCUGUGGUAAUGGCCAGAGCAUCGCCCUGUUACUACAGCGUAUUUCACUUUUAAUUCUGACAUAUAAUGUAAUGAUCUUUUUUAAGGCCCGAUGAUAUUAUCUGCCUGACUAGAUUAUUGAGUCUUCAUCAUCUCCAGAUAAAUUUACGGCCAGGACGAGGCUCAGGAUUUAUCAUCAGUCAAUAGAGCUCAAUACUCUAACAAGGCGUGUAAUAAGAUAUACAUAUUUAAUGAUCCAAGGGGAGGAGCACUAAUGGGAGCCCAGACUGAGUGGUCCAGGGGGCUGGGCUGGGGCUCUGCCGUAGGACUGCCAUGGCAAGGGGACACUGAUGCAUUUUGGGCCCUGUGGUUCCAAACUUCAGUCUUUUCUUAGGACUGCAUAUCUCCUUCCCGAGACCCAAGGGCAGGCAGAGGCAGGGUCAGCACCCAGACACAUGGUAUUCCCUAACCUCCACCCACCCCUGGGAAUUCUCUCCUGUCUCCACACCCUAGAAGGGCUAGGUAGUUCUCAGACCCGCCUGCUCAGGUCCCUGAACAUCAGAAAGGGCCCACAGGGAGGGAGUGUUGGGGCUCCAUGCCCAGGCCAUGCUGAUGGUGACGGAUGGUUUUUCAUUAUAGCCUCUCAGGUCCUGCCCGCGCCCUGUGUGGAAAUUCUAUUUAUUCCCUAAUUUGUAAAAAUUCCCUCUUUAUCUGAUCCCAAUCAGGGCGGGGUAAUUGGCUCUCUGGGGCAGCGGCUGGGGUCCUUGAUGAAGAGCUAUGUGGAUGUACCCAGCCUGGCCCCCUCCCGUCCUGCCACCAGGGCCCACAAUUAAUAAUGAUUUGCAAAUGGCAGACAAGCAAUAACACAGAAAGAUGUGGCACCCGUGCUGCCUCUUCAUUUCCUCCCCUCACAGAUAUAAAUGGCCACAGAACAAAAACCCAGCACUAUAAAUUCUGAAAUUAGUUAUUCACUGGGACAAAUGGGGUCUGAAGCCUACAGUCCCACUCCCUACCAUCCACCCCCUGCCCUUGCUUUCCCUGACCCAGGGUCUGUUUUCAGGUCUUCCUCUUUAAAUAUAAACUCAGUUCCUCACCUUCCUCCCACUGCUCCACUGACCCCCUUCUUGGAAGUGAGCACUGGGUCUAGCUUGCCCCUUCCUCAGUGGCGACUGCAGCCAGCAAGUGGGGUCUAGCUCCACCUCCUCUCAAGGGCCUCCCUGGCUGCUUGACCUGGCUCCUGUCCCCAUUCUGCACUGGUUGUGAAUGGAGUAGUUGAUGUGGCCUGCCAGGCCUGGGAGUCUGGAUCAGAGUUGGUCAGAUCAGAGUUGUCUUCUUUGGCAUUUGGGAUCAAUCCAGUCAUUGGCUUGGCCAAGUCUGCGUUGGGCUCAUAACAGCCAAAUGCAGAGUAAGUGACUGAGGGGCUGAGGCUGUGCUUACUGGUCAGGCAUCUCUGGGAGGUUGGCAAAGGCAUUUCCGGGCACCAUGCCCUCUCGGCCAGGCACAUCCUUCCCCCACCCCCCAAGUGGCUGUGAGCUGGCGGGUAAUGGGCGUGUAAUGGCCUCAUUUCCAUGCCCAGCCUCCAGGAGCGGCGGUAAGUGUUUGAUUGCCUUAAUUUCCAAACACAUCAUUAUCCUAGCUUUACCAGCGCUUAAUAAACACUUUAUGAGGAUUUUUUUAAAAACAUCUUCGGUCCGCAUACUUCUCUGAAGUGAUAAACUCUAAUUAAGUCUAAUAUUUAAAAAUAUGGUAAUGGUGAGUUGUUUGAAUAAGUGGACUGCAUUUCUGUAAUUUCAUUAUUACGUAAAACACGCUAAUUAUUUGGAGCACGCUUAUUACAGAGAGAGAAAUCGCCUGCUAAUCAAGAUGAAAUUGCCUUUUCCCCUUAUUGUAGAACCACCGUCAUCCUUCACCAUCAGCCCUGUGGCACCUCAGGCACCUCUGUGGGGUGGAGGGUGAUACAGGGAGGGGCGGGAAGACAGGGUCACUUUAGAGUGGAGGCCAUAAGACCCUGCUUGGGAGGUUUAGAAGACAGAAGAGUGCUGAGUGGGGGAGGAGGGGAGUGAUUUCUGGAGAGAGUGUCAUGAAGGCCAAAGUGGCCAUGAAUGGGCGAGGGACAUAGGAGGCUGUGUGGGCCCAAGGAACACAGCCUGAGUGUCAGGAUAUUAAUUUUAGAAUAACAAUAUUAUAUUAGAGUAACUGGUAAGUAACAUAGACACUAUUUUAAAUACUUCACAGACAAUUCAUUUCAUCUUUUAAAUUAUCCUUUAAGAGAAGUAGUUGCUGUAAUUUUUCUUUUCAUUUUAGAGAAAAAAAA